rnacentral:rRNA from 1 species
AUCCAGACUCCUACGGGAGGCAGCAGUGGGGAAUAUUGGGCAAUGGGCGCAAGCCUGACCCAGCAACGCCGCGUGAAGGAAGAAGGCCCUCGGGUUGUAAACUUCUUUUCUAUAGGACGAAGAAGUGACGGUACUAUAGGAAUAAGCCACGGCUAACUACGUGCCAGCAGCCGCGGUAAUACGUAGGUGGCGAGCGUUAUCCGGAUUUACUGGGUGUAAAGGGAGCGUAGACGGUCCUGCAAGCCAGAUGUGAAAGCCCGGGGCUCAACCCCGGGACUGCAUUUGGAACUGUAAGGCUAGAGUGUCGGAGAGGCAGGCGGAAUUCCUAGUGUAGCGGUGAAAUGCGUAGAUAUUAGGAGGAACACCAGUGGCGAAGGCGGCCUGCUGGACGAUGACUGACGUUGAGGCUCGAAAGCGUGGGGAGCAAACAGGAUUAGAUACCCUGGUA